rnacentral:lncRNA from 1 species
GCUUGCUUCUAAUGUGACCUAACAUUUUUCACUUGAGGCUUUUAAGACUUUAUCCUUGUUCCAUAUGUUAAGUAUUUUAAUUGUGUCAUGUAAAGUUUAUUUUUUGACCUUGUUUAUUUGGGGUUCUAAAUUGUUCCUGUAUUUGAAUGUCCAUCUCAUUCUCAAGGAUUGGAAAUUAUUGUUAGUGUUUUCCCAAAGAGGUUAUCCAUGUUAUUCACCUGAAUCUCACAAUGCUCUUCAAUUUUAAUUAUUCUUAAAUUUGAUCUCUUAAUGUUAUUCCAGAGUUCUUGAAUAGUCUGAUCAUAUAUUUUAUUUUCUUUAAUACUAUUUGAAUGUCAGGCUUGGCUACUUUGUUUUCAAGCUCUGAUAUUCUGUCUUCAGCAUGGUGUGCUUUACCAGAGAGCCUUUUUUUAAAAAAAUAAUUUUUUAGAUGUUGAUGCACCUUUAUUUUAUUCAUUUAUUUAUAUGUAUUGCUGAGGAUCAAACCCAGUGCCUCACACAUACCAGGCAAGUGCUCUACCACUGAUCCAUAACCCCCAGACCCUUAAAGAGACUUUUAACUGAACAGUUUUUUUAAAAUAUCAUUUAUUUAUUUAUUUGUUUGUUUGUUUGUUUGUUUAUAUGUGGUGUUGAGGAUCCAACCCAGUGGCUAGGAAAGUGCUCUAGCGCUGAGCUACAACCCCAGCCUUAACUGAACAGUUUUAUUUGAUUUGUUGUGUCUUUGAUUUCCAAGAUUUCUAAUUCAUUAUUUUUCAAUAUUUUUAACUCUUUAUUGACUUUCUCAUCCAUAUUACCUACAGGUAAUAUCAUACUUAAUGGUGAAAGACUGAAUAUUAUUCCCUAUGUGUUGUACAUCUAUAUGCAAAAAAAAG